rnacentral:rRNA from 1 species
AGUGAACGCUGGCGGUAGGCCUAACACAUGCAAGUCGAACGGCAGCACAGUAAGAGCUUGCUCUUACGGGUGGCGAGUGGCGGACGGGUGAGGAAUACAUCGGAAUCUACUUUUUCGUGGGGGAUAACGUAGGGAAACUUACGCUAAUACCGCAUACGACCUACGGGUGAAAGCAGGGGAUUUUCGGACCUUGCGCGAUUGAAUGAGCCGAUGUCGGAUUAGCUAGUUGGCGGGGUAAAGGCCCACCAAGGCGACGAUCCGUAGCUGGUCUGAGAGGAUGAUCAGCCACACUGGAACUGAGACACGGUCCAAACUCCUACGGGAGGCAGCAGUGGGGAAUAUUGGACAAUGGGCGCAAGCCUGAUCCAGCCAUACCGCGUGGGUGAAGAAGGCCUUCGGGUUGUAAAGCCCUUUUGUUGGGAAAGAAAAGCAGCAGGUUAAUACCCCGCUGUUCUGACGGUACCCAAAGAAUAAGCACCGGCUAACUUCGUG